ACACAGCAGAGCCGUCCACAGACCCGGCCCAGGGGCCGCCGGGAUCAUCCCGCCCAGUCGAGCUCUUGGGCCCCCUUGAAGCCUAGGAGUGUUUUCUCAGAGAGAAAGCAGCACGCUUCUUGCGCAUUUGCACAUCUCCAACGCAGCGCUUCGGCCUGUCCUCCGCACUGGAGACUCAGGUGCCUCCGCCCUCCUGAGAGCAGGGGCGGCCUCUCUGCUGAGAGUUCUGAUUGUCAAGCUCCCAGAACUUUCAGAGUUCAGUCCGCCCAGCGUUCUUGUUUACCAGUUGAGGAAACGGAGGCCCAGGGAGGCUGUGCAGCGCGCCGGCACUCACACACCUGGUGGGGACAAAUGUGGACUAGGAUAUCUGGGACCGAAGUCUUGGCCUCCAGCUCCCUCUUGCCUCCCACUUACCUUUCCAGGAAGAGGCCCACGAAAGCUAAGACCCCAAGGCCCAUGUGCACCAUACUGCAGCCCUGCUCUGUCCACCAUUUCUGAGAUCGGCGCCCCACAGAGGGAGAGCAUCUGCCCAGACUGGCUUUUUGCACCCCUGCUCAAGCCUGCACCCUCGUC
rnacentral:lncRNA from 1 species